AGGAGAGGAGAGGAGAGGAGAGCGGUGCCUCUGCCCCGGGGACAGUGUUACAGUGGUGCUUUCUGGGAGAGAUACCGAGCCCAGAAAUUUAUGAUUGCUGGGAGGGUUGGAGAGCAUCUACUCCAGUUUCAAGCAGAAGAGAAUCUUAAAACUGCAAGGAUCAGAACACCAGGGCAUCUUCAUUGACAAGUCAGAGCUUCCUGUAACAGAAGGAUAUAAAUCUGGGCCAUAAGGAGUGGAAGAAGGAAAAACAUUUAACUGUUAUGUGACUGUAACAGUUACGAUGACCAUCUGUAUAAAUAGUAUCGACCUUGACAAUCUCUCAAAACAGAGGACAGCAAAAUUGUCAGUGCCAUAGAAAUACAGUGUUUUCCAGGUAGCCAGCUCUGCAGAUUGGCACAGCUUCCUGGAUUGUAAAGGAAUGAUGCCAAGUUAUACCAGCAUGGAGGUAUCUUUCAAGAGGUGCCUUAUUAUAUAUCUGUCAUACACCAAGCCAAAGUAGGAGCAACUGUUCAUUCUAAGAUACAUGAAGCGACUUUCCAAGAUGACCCUCCGAGGAGUCCACUAAAGAACUCUGGAGAGCCUGAGGGUUGUACGUACAGAGGGGGGCAACACCUCUGAACUGCUCUUGACUGCCCUGAGACAUCCCACUGAAGCUGACAUUUAUGUUAAAUGACUUCCUGCUGAUCGCAUUAUUGCAGUAAAUACUAAAUGAGUCUGAUGUUGAACGCUUAGUCUUACCUUUCUUGAUAACUCUAUGUUAAUAUUACAUUAAUUAU